rnacentral:rRNA from 1 species
UGCAGUCGAGCGGACAGAAGGGAGCUUGCUCCCGGAAGUCAGCGGCGGACGGGUGAGUAACACGUAGGUAACCUGCCCCUUAGACUGGGAUAACUCCGGGAAACCGGAGCUAAUACGGGAUAAUAAAGAGAAUCACCUGAUUCUCUUUUGAAAGACGGUUUCGGCUGUCACUAAGGGAUGGGCCUGCGGCGCAUUAGCUAGUUGGUAAGGUAACGGCUUACCAAGGCGACGAUGCGUAGCCGACCUGAGAGGGUGAUCGGCCACACUGGGACUGAGACACGGCCCAGACUCCUACGGGAGGCAGCAGUAGGGAAUCUUCCGCAAUGGACGAAAGUCUGACGGAGCAACGCCGCGUGAGUGAGGAAGGCCUUCGGGUCGUAAAGCUCUGUUGUGAGGGAAGAACAAGUACCGGGGUAACUACCGGUACCUUGACGGUACCUCACCAGAAAGCCACGGCUAACUACGUGCCAGCAGCCGCGGUAAUACGUAGGUGGCAAGCGUUGUCCGGAAUUAUUGGGCGUAAAGCGCGCGCAGGCGGCUUCUUAAGUCUGAUGUGAAAUCUCGGGGCUCAACCCCGAGCGGCCAUUGGAAACUGGGAAGCUUGAGUGCAGAAGAGGAGAGUGGAAUUCCACGUGUAGCGGUGAAAUGCGUAGAUAUGUGGAGGAACACCAGUGGCGAAGGCGACUCUCUGGUCUGUAACUGACGCUGAGGCGCGAAAGCGUGGGG